GUUCGUGUAGUGUAGUGGUUAUCACGUUAGUCUUACAAACUAAAGGUCUCCAGUUCAAAUCUGGGCACGAACA
rnacentral:tRNA from 1 species